UACUUGUGCCUAGACAGAAGAAUGAACGAUU
rnacentral:piRNA from 1 species